rnacentral:tRNA from 1 species
GUCCUCAUAGCUCAGUUGGAUAGAGCGUCUCCCUUCUAAGGAGAAGGUCGCAGGUUCGAUCCCUGCUGAGGAUAC